rnacentral:misc_RNA from 1 species
GAUGAAGAACGUAGCGAAAUGCGAUAAGUAAUGUGAAUUGCAGAAUUCAGUGAAUCAUCGAAUCUUUGAACGCACAUUGCGCCCGCCAGCAUUCUGGCGGGCAUGCCUGUUCGAGCGUCAUUUCAACCCUCGACUUCCCUUUGGGGAAAUCGGCGUUGGGGACCGGCUGUAUACCGCCGGCCCCGAAAUGAAGUGGCGGCCCGUCCGCGGCGACCUCUGCGUAGUAAUCCAACUCGCACCGGAACCCCGACGUGGCCACGACGUAAAACCCCCGACUUCUGAACGUUGACCUCGGAUCAGGUAGGAAUACCCGCUGAACUUAAGCAUAUCAAUAAGCGGAGGA